rnacentral:rRNA from 1 species
UACGAAGGGGGGCUAGCGUUGCUCGGAUUGACUGGGCGUAAAGGGGCGCGUAGGCGGCUUACACAGUCAGACGUGAAAUUCCUGGGGCUCAACCUGGGGGGCUGCGUUUUGGAUACAUGUAGGCUUGAGUUCGGAAGAGGGUCGUGGAAUUCCCAGUGUAGAGGUGAAAUUCGUAGAUAUUGGGGAAGAACACCGGUGGCGAAGGCGGCGACC